ACUAAGAUGGCAGAAUUAAGUGCAAUAAUUUUAAGAAUUAUAUAUGAAUAUUAUUCUCUUAGUA
rnacentral:tRNA from 1 species